rnacentral:rRNA from 1 species
UAGGGAAUCUUGCGCAAUGGGCGAAAGCCUGACGCAGCGACGCCGCGUGAGGGAAGAAGGCCUUCGGGUUGUAAACCUCUUUCAGGAGGGACGAAGCCACUCGGGUUAAUAGCCUAGAGGGUGACGGUACCUCCAGAAGAAGCCCCGGCUAACUACGUGCCAGCAGCCGCGGUAAUACGUAGGGGGCAAGCGUUGUCCGGAUUUAUUGGGCGUAAAGAGCGUGUAGGCGGCCAAGCAGGUCCGCUGUGAAAACUCGAGGCUCAACCUCGAGAGGUCGGUGGAAACCGUUUGGCUAGAGUCCGGAAGAGGAGAGUGGAAUUCCCGGUGUAGCGGUGAAAUGCGCAGAUAUCGGGAAGAACACCCGUGGCGAAGGCGGCUCUCUGGGACGGUACUGACGCUGAGACGCGAAAGCGUGGGGAGCGAACAGGAUUAGAUACCCUGGUAGCCCACGCCGUAAACGAUGGGCACUAGGUGUGGCGGGUAUCGACUCCGCUGUGCCGAAGCUAACGCAUUAAGUCG